CCGCUCCCCACGAAAAUAACGUGUCGCCUGAACUGUUUUAAUCUCUCUUCUUAGAGCCUCGUUCUUUCGGGUUUCGAUUCAACGCAAUAAUAAAAUUAUACGCCCUGAAGUUCUAUACUGGACGGCCGAAUCACAUUAAAAAAGCAAACUCCCGAAAUCGUUUAAAUUCGAACCUCGCGAACAAUACGCGUUUUACACAGAAUCCGGUAUAAGGCACUAGACAGCGGCGAGCAAACAUUUCAGCCGAGC